UGGGGAAUAUUGGACAAUGGGCGAAAGCCUGAUCCAGCCAUGCCGCGUGUGUGAAGAAGGUCUUCGGAUUGUAAAGCACUUUAAGUUGGGAGGAAGGGCAGUAAGUUAAUACCUUGCUGUUUUGACGUUACCGACAGAAUAAGCACCGGCUAACUCUGUGCCAGCAGCCGCGGUAAUACAGAGGGUGCAAGCGUUAAUCGGAAUUACUGGGCGUAAAGCGCGCGUAGGUGGUUAGUUAAGUUGGAUGUGAAAUCCCCGGGCUCAACCUGGGAACUGCAUUCAAAACUGACUGACUAGAGUAUGGUAGAGGUGGUGGAAUUUCCUGUGUAGCGGUGAAAUGCGUAGAUAUAGGAAGGAACACCAGUGGCGAAGGCGACCACCUGGACUGAUACUGACACUGAGGUGCGAAAGCGUGGGGAGCAAACAGGAUUAGAUACCCAAGUAGUCCCUG
rnacentral:rRNA from 1 species